GUAAGCCCAAACACUGGCUUGAGGUCAGCCUGGGCUGGGAAUGACAAGGUACAUGCCCUGUAGUACCCUCCGUCACACUCCAGUCAUGACCUCUGCAACAGGGGGUGAUAAAUCCCCAAAGGAAUGGAAAGGCAAUGAGGUGACCAAGAAAAGAGGAUGUGGGCCAUAGCAGCCAGGUUAAACCAGAUGGAAGCCAGGGACCAGGAACUGGGAACUUCAUCUGCAUCUCUCACGUGGAUGACAGCGAUUCAGUUCUGCUGCCUUCUCGGGUACAUUUGUAGAAAGCUGGAUAGAAAAUUGUGGAGAAAACAAUGAGUAUGUCCAGUGGCAUU